CGUUCUAUGGCCGAACUGGUAAAGGCAUCAGCGAUUACAGGCGAAGUUGCGGGUUCAAGUCCCGCUGGAACGG
rfam:Operophtera brumata OBRT01_Sc01856, whole genome shotgun sequence.